ACGAACGCUGGCGGCAGGCUUAACACAUGCAAGUCGAACGCCCCGCAAGGGGAGUGGCAGACGGGUGAGUAACACGUGGGAACAUGCCCAAAGGUACGGAAUAUUCUCGGGAAACUGGGAGCAAUACCGUAUGUGCCCGAAAGGGGAAAGAUUUAUCGCCUUUGGAUUGGCCCGCGUCGGAUUAGCUAGUUGGUGGGGUAAUGGCCUACCAAGGCGACGAUCCGUAGCUGGUCUGAGAGGACGACCAGCCACACUGGGACUGAGACACGGCCCAGACUCCUACGGGAGGCAGCAGUGGGGAAUCUUGGACAAUGGGCGCAAGCCUGAUCCAGCCAUGCCGCGUGGAUGAUGAAGGCCCUAGGGUUGUAAAAUCCUUUCGCCGAGGACGAUAAUGACGGUACUCGGAGAAGAAGCUCCGGCUAACUUCGU
rnacentral:rRNA from 1 species